AUUGAACGCUGGCGGCAUGCCUUACACAUGCAAGUCGAACGGGCUUUUGGGGCUUGCUCCAAAAGUUAGUGGCGAACGGGUGAGUAAUAUAUCGGAACGUGCCCUAGAGUGGGGGACAACCAGUCGAAAGAUUGGCUAAUACCGCAUACGAUCUAAGGAUGAAAGUGGGGGACCUUCGGGCCUCAUUCUCCUGGAGCGGCCGAUAUCUGAUUAGCUAGUUGGUGGGGUAAAGGCCCACCAAGGCGACGAUCAGUAGCUGGUCUGAGAGGACGAUCAGCCACACUGGGACUGAGACACGGCCCAGACUCCUACGGGAGGCAGCAGUGGGGAAUUUUGGACAAUGGGCGCAAGCCUGAUCCAGCAAUGCCGCGUGAGUGAAGAAGGCCUUCGGGUUGUAAAGCUCUUUUGUCAGGGAAGAAACGGUGGGGGCUAAUAUCCUCUGCUAAUGACGGUACCUGAAGAAUAAGCACCGGCUAACUACGUGCCAGCCGCCGCAGUAA
rnacentral:rRNA from 1 species